CACGUAGGGCGCAAGCGUGUCCGGAAUUAUUGGGCGUAAAGAGCUCGUAGGCGGCCUGUCGCGUCUGCUGUGAAAUCCCGGGGCUCAACCCCGGGCCUGCAGUGGAUACGGGCUGGCUGGAGGCAGGCAGGGGAGAACGGAAUUCCUGGUGUAGCGGUGAAAUGCGCAGAUAUCAGGAGGAACACCGGUGGCGAAGGCGGUUCUCUGGGCCUGUUCUGACGCUGAGGAGCGAAAGCGUGGGGAGCGAACAGG
rnacentral:rRNA from 1 species